UCUGUAGUUUUUACCCUUUGCUAUAUUGGCCGAGAGGCCGUUUUUGCCAAAAUAAUUUAUCAAUAUAAAUAUAAAUUCUAUUUAGAAUGUCGCCUUUUAAUAAUAUGUUUCGUUUAAGUAAUGUAAUAACAGGAUCCUACAAAACCGUUCUUUUAGGAAGGGUAAGUUAUAGCCCUUCUCAAAUAUGUUGUUACACGAAGAAGUCAGCAGAAGCAAAAUUGGGUAUAGACAAACCAAAGAGACCAUUGACCCCCUUUUUUAAGUUCAUGGGUCAAAUGAGACCAGCCCUGUUAGCUAAGAAUCCCGGUAUAAGUUCCAAAGAAGCCAUAUCAUGGAGUUCAAAACAUUGGCAGCAACUUGACAGUGAGACCAAGUCACAAAUGUUGAAAGAGUAUGAGAAAGAUUUAGAGGACUAUAAAAAGAUUAAGGCAAUAUAUGAGUCAUCACUCACAGACCAACAAAAAGAAGACAUCCAGAAAAUGAAAGAAGACAUGGUCGCAGCUAAAGAAAAACGCAAAUUAAAAGCUGAAUAUAAAGAAUUGGGGCGACCAAAGAAACCUAUGUCCUCCUACUUCCUAUUCUGCCAAACUAAAAAGGAUUUAUUUAAGGGACAGAAAAUACAAGAAUUUCAGACUACAUUAAAAGCUGAAUGGGUUAAACUUUCUGAUAGUGAAAGAGUGAAGUAUGAAAAACAGGCACAGGAGCUUAUGAAUAAAUAUAGAAAAGAUUUACAGGCAUGGGAACUGAAGAUGAUAUCGAUCGGACGAUCAGAUCUUGUUAAAGAGAAACCAGUUAGGUCCAAAUCAAAAUCUUCACAAUAGGGAUUCGGGUGCUCUGAUGAACAAGCUGACUUAAAUAAAACUAUUAGCUCUAAGGAUAAUAAUAUGAAUAAAGAUAUACAAACAGCCAGUGACAUUAUUAUAGAAAAAAAUAAUGCUAAAUUGGAAAGUACAGUAGUACAAAUGGAACAGAAGUCAGAUGUGAGUCAGAGUACGGGUGAAGAGAAAACUGAAAAUAAAAUUGAUAAAUGUAGCGAUAGUGAUGUUAAAACGACAUUAGUUAGAAAUACUGUGCAGGAAAAUACCUCAAAAGAAAGACCACUUUUGCAAGGUGUGUUUGGGAUAUAUAAAAUGAGACCAUAGACAACAUUAUUAGAGCCACUUUUAAUUUCAAAAGUUUGUUACAAAAUAUAAUUAAAAUAAAAUCUUUUAUUCAUA